CUGAAAGCAGGGAAUCUUCUGGAAGGCGGUCUGUGGGCCGGGGAGGCGCGCGGUGGGCUCGGAGCCUUUCCACCCUGGGCCUAGCCACAGCGGGGCGGCUCCUCUCUUCUUCAAAAUGGCAGCUGCCACGCUGAAGUGGGGGUGAAGGUCUCAUGUAGCUCAGGCUGGCCUGGUGUGGAGAGCAGCUACAACUGGAGAUCUAUCACAAAACUGGAGAUCAAUCACGUGUGUGAAGCAAGCCACAAAAACAAGUUGUUCCAUUUCCAAGAAUGCCAGGUGCUCAGAUGGAAAACAUACUGCUGUGGAAGCCAUGCUGAGCCCUGGACAGCUUCAGAAGCCUCAGUGAGCCGGGACUGACAACUUCACUGGCACGGGAGCAGCACUGAGCCCCAGACAGCUUCAGGAAACUACGUGAGCCACACCCUGCACCGUACCCCACCCCCAGGUCGGGGAGGCCACACUGAGUCCCACACAGCUUUGGAAGCCUUGAUGAGCUGCCCCCUCACCCUCCCACUGUUGCAUGAACGACACUGAGCCCCAGAGAGAUUGGAGUCCUUGGUGAGCCACACCCUGCUCCCCCAACUGUUGUGGGAGCAACGCUGAACUCCAGACAUCUUCUGAGGCCUUGGUUACCUGUGCCCCACAUCUCCACCAUCAGAAGAACUCCUCUGAGUUCCAGUGAACUCCGGGAGCCUUGGUGAGGCAUCCCUUGAACCCCCAUUGUGACAGUGACAUUGAGCCCUGGGGAACUUUGAGAGCCUCAGUGAGCUGCACCCUGCCCCCUCACCAUCACAGGAGCACUGCUGAGCCUCAGACAGCUUUGAGAGCUGCAGUGAACCUCCUCCCAACACUCCACCAUUGCAGGAGUGACACUGAGCCCUAGAGAACUUCAGGAGCUUUAAAAAUGUCAAAACGAAGGAGCAAAAUGCAAUCUCAGACCUCCAGCCCACCCAGAAUAAGUCCAGGAAACAUUGACACAGAAGAGCAGGGAAGUCAUAUAUCUGAAAUUUCAGAAAUGAUAGCAACUGAAGUAAAGAAACAACUUCAUCAGGCCAUAGAAGAAAUCAGACCAGA